rnacentral:tRNA from 1 species
AAUAAAGUGCCUGAUUAAAGGAAUAUCUUGAUAGGAUAGAUAAUGUAGAACUUCUACCUUUAUUA